AGCUGUUCUCAGGGCGGGGUGAAAUUCCCCACCGGCGGUUACAGCCCGCGAGCGCCUUACCAUUAUUGGCAAGGGUCAGCAGAUCCGGUGAAACUCCGGGGCCGACGGUAUAGUCCGGAUGAAAGAGAACCUUU
rnacentral:ncRNA from 2 species